rnacentral:rRNA from 1 species
AAUAGAUACCCCGGUAGUCCACGCUGUAAAACGGUGGGUACUAGGUGUGGGGUCCAUUCCACGGGUUCCGUGCCGUAGCUAAUGCUUUAAGUACCCCGCCUGGGGAGUACGGCCGCAAGGCUAAAAACUCAAAGGAAUUGACGGGGCCCCGCACAAGCGGCGGAGCAUGCGGAUUAAUUCGAUGCAACGCGUAGAACCUUACCUGGGUUUGACAUGGAUCGGGAGCGCUCAGAGAUGGGUGUGCCUCUUUUGGGGUCGGUUCACAGGUGGUGCAUGGCUGUCGUCAGCUCGUGUCGUGAGAUGUUGGGUUAAGUCCCGCAACGAGCGCAACCCUUGUUCACUGUUGCCAGCACGUUAUGGUGGGGACUCAGUGGAGACCGCCGGGGUCAACUCGGAGGAAGGUGGGGAUGACGUCAAGGUCAUCAUGCCCCUUAUGUCCAGGGCUUCACGCAUGCUACAAUGGCUGGUACAGAGAGUGCGAGCCUGUGAGGGUNAGCGAAUCUCGGGAAAGCCGGUUCUCGAGUUCGGGAUUGGGGUCUGCUAACCG